rnacentral:rRNA from 1 species
AGAGUUUGAUCCUGGCUCAGAUUGAACGCUGGCGGAAUGCUUUACACAUGCAAGUCGAACGGCAGCACGGGGGCAACCCUGGUGGCGAGUGGCGAACGGGUGAGUAAUAUAUCGGAACGUGCCCAGUCGUGGGGGGAUAACGUAGCGAAAGUUACGCUAAUACCGCAUACGAUCUACGGAUGAAAGCGGGGGAUCGCAAGACCUCGCGCGAUUGGAGCGGCCGAUAUCAGAUUAGGUAGUUGGUGGGGUAAAGGCUCACCAAGCCAACGAUCUGUAGCUGGUCUGAGAGGACGACCAGCCACACUGGGACUGAGACACGGCCCAGACUCCUACGGGAGGCAGCAGUGGGGAAUUUUGGACAAUGGGCGCAAGCCUGAUCCAGCCAUUCCGCGUGCAGGACGAAGGCCUUCGGGUUGUAAACUGCUUUUGUACGGAACGAAAAAGCCUUGGCUAAUACCCAGGGCCCAUGACGGUACCGUAAGAAUAAGCACCGGCUAACUACGUGCCAGCAGCCGCGGUAAUACGUAGCGUGCAAGCGUUAAUCGGAAUUACUGGGCGUAAAGCGUGCGCAGGCGGUUAUAUAAGACANAUGUGAAAUCCCCGGG